UGGAAGUAAAGUCGUACAAGGUUUCGUAGGUGAACCUGCGAAGAUCAUUAAAGAAUUGGUGACUGUAAUUUAGGUUAACCAUUAUUAUCUACUCUUUGUGAAUUGUUUGUUAUGUAAAUUUUUGUCUAUCCCUAAGAAAGGUUGGAUAAGUGUAAAGCUAAAAACUUUUUUUAGGAAUGCUUAAAGACUUUAUUUAAAAUUAAACUUUUAUUCAUUUGUCUAAAUAAUUUUUAAUAAAUAAUUAAAAACAACUUUGACAAUGGUCUCUUGGUUCUCGCAACGAUGAAACGCAAAUGCGUAAGUAUGUGAAUUGCAGAAUACGUGAAUCAUCAAUCUUCGAACGCAUAUUGCACUUUUUUAGUUUACUAAAAAGUAUGUCUGUUUGAGUAUCAGUAAAUAUCUCAUAAAUCAUUGAUUUUAUGUUAUGAGUGUUUACACGAUAACAGUUGUUCACUUUAAAUGGAUUUUAAUUGAAAUCGUCGUUGGAACGAUUUUAAUUUUUUUAAAAAUUGGAUAAAUUUCCCGUAAAAGGAAAAAGCUAUUUCAGUUUUUAGAAAUUUUAAUAGUUUCCAUACCGUACAGUUAGAGGAAAUUUAUUUAUAAUACUGAUCUCAAUCAGAUAAGAGUACCCGCUGACUAAGCAUAUCAAAGCGGAGAAAGAACUACAAGGAUUCCCUAGUAAGGCGAGUGAACGGGAAGAGCUCAAUUUGAAAUCUUCAAGGUUCACCUUGACGAUUGUAGUUUAAGAAGUGUUUCUGUUAGAGGAGUGGCAAAAUUCUUUGGAAUAGACAUCAUAGAGGGUGAGAUCCCGUAUUUGGUCAUUCUUUCUAGCUGUGAUACACUUUCAAAGAGUCGGAUUGUUUGGAAUGCAGUCCAAAAUGGUGUAAAUUCAUCUAAAGCUAAUAUUGGCGAGAGACCGAUAGCGAACAAGUACCGUGAGGAAGAUGAAAGAACUUUGAAAAGAGAAUUAACAGUACGUGAAAUUGUCAAAAGGAAGCGUUGACACCAGUGUGUUUUUCCGAAAUCAAUGUGCUGCGGAUUUGUAGGAGUUGACCUUAUCAGCUUCUUCUGCUUUUUCCGGUCUGGUGCAAUGCACUUUCGGUUAACAAGUCAACAUCAAUUCUUUGUUGUAAAAGGGUAAUUGGAAGGUGGCUUUCUUUCGGAGAAGUGUUUAUAGCCUUUACUCUACAAUCGGAGGAUUGAGUCUGCAGCGUAGAUCCUUCGGGUUAGAUACAUUUGUGCUAAGUAUAGCCCUGUAGACACUUGUUGACUAUACUCGGUCAUGUAGCUUACUCGCUUAUGCUAUUUUACCUACGCUUAGGAUGUUGAA
rnacentral:misc_RNA from 1 species